AAAAAAACCCGAAACUUGAGCCUCCUGACAGCAGGAGAGCGUCUCCGGUGUCCGUGAUGGGCUCGUUCAGAUAUUUUACUCCGUGUCUGAUGGCUGUCUCUGCUGUCAAGCCCCAGCUCCGCUCGCACGGCUCUCCGUGUUUCUCUCCGCGUCAAAGAAGCUCUCUCACAGAAGCUGACGGGCAGAGAUCGUAUUGCGCUGAGCAGUGUUUAAAGAGAACGUGACGUCAAUCCCCGCCCCCGGAAUCCCAGGGCAGACUCGUGACCAGCGCUUGGACUCCAGCACAGCCAGCAGCUAUUUCUCUGCCUCGGUCUAUUUCUGGACGAGGAAGCGCCCCUCACUUCAUAUUACCCACAGGAAGACAGAGACUAUUGUAGUGUUAUAGUCUGAGCAUAUUUUUGCCUCUUUCUUGGAUUUCUUAUACAUCCAUAAUAAGAAAAAUACUGGCCUCACAGAUCCACUACUGAAAUGAUACCGGAAUGGUUUCUUCUCUUUGGGCAUCUUGCACAUUGUUACAGUGAGAACAGACAGUCUGUCACGUUAGACUCAACAGUUUUCUAAAAUGAUGCAGCCUGCCCUCAACCUGACUAGUAUACACUAUUUAUUAAUAACACAGUUACAAAGAUGGUAAACAUGUAAUAAGUGCUCAGUAAACUUUAAAUUAGUGGCA